AUGAGGCAUGUCUUGCCAAACCUUAAGUUUAUCUUGUUAUGUUUUGAAGCCUUGUCGGGGCUGAAUAAUAACUUUUCUAAAAGUCAGGUGAUUGUGACUGGGGCUGAUGAGGCAGAGGCUCUUAGGGUAGCCCAGCUCCUCAACUACUCGCUUGGCUCUUUCCCCAUCAAAUAUCAGGACAUGCCUAUCUCCCCUUACCAUUUGCAUGCUAAGGAAUUCAAACCUUUGGUGUCUAAAGUGGGCAAUAGAGUAAUGCCUUGGUGCGGCAAAUAUAAUACUCAGGCAGGGAAAGCAUGCCUCAUCAAUGUGUGCCUGUCUUCUUUGCCUAUGUUUACUAUGGGUUUCUUCAUGCUAUCUUUGGGUACUCACGCUGACUUCGAUAAACAUAGGGGUGCCUUUUACUGGAAUUCGUCGGAUAACAAACGUAAGCAUAGGUUUGUCAAAUUACAGGCCAUUUGUAGGCCUAAAAGCCUUGGUGGGCUGGGGAUUCUUAAUACCGUGGUGAUGAACAAGUGUCUCAUUGUUAAGUGGUGGUGGAGAAUUUUGACUGCUUCCCUGGGACCCUUUGGUUCGAUCUCUUGA
rnacentral:rRNA from 1 species